rnacentral:rRNA from 1 species
GUACCUACGGGGGGCUGCAGUGGGGAAUCUUGCGCAAUGGGCGAAAGCCUGACGCAGCAACGCCGCGUGUGUGAUGAAGGUCUUCGGAUCGUAAAGCACUGUCGGGAGGAAAGAACAAGCCUGUGGCUAACAUCCACGGGCCUUGACGGUACCUCCAAAGGAAGCACCGGCUAACUCUGUGCCAGCAGCCGCGGUAAUACAGAGGGUGCAAGCGUUGUUCGGAAUUAUUGGGCGUAAAGCGCGUGUAGGCGGCCUUGCAAGUUGGGUGUGAAAGCCCUCGGCUUAACCGAGGAAGUGCGCCCAAAACUACAAGGCUUGAGUACCGGAGAGGAUGGCGGAAUACCCGGUGUAGAGGUGAAAUUCGUAGAUAUCGGGUGGAACACCAGUGGCGAAGGCGGCCAUCUGGACGGAUACUGACGCUGAGACGCGAAAGCGUGGGGAGCAAACAGGAUUAGAUACCCCUGUAGUCG